GAGUGAACGCUGGCGGUAGGCCUAACACAUGCAAGUCGAACGGCAGCACAGUAAGAGCUUGCUCUUACGGGUGGCGAGUGGCGGACGGGUGCGGAAUACAUCGGAAUCUACUUUUUCGUGGGGGAUAACGUAGGGAAACCUACGCUAAUACCGCAUACGACCUACGGGUGAAAGCAGGGGAUCUUCGGACCUUGCGCGAUUGAAUGAGCCGAUGUCGGAUUAGCUAGUUGGCGGGGUAAAGGCCCACCAAGGCGACGAUCCGUAGCUGGUCUGAGAGGAUGAUAAGCCACACUGGAACUGAGACACGGUCCAGACUCCUACGGGAGGCAGCAGUGGGGAAUAUGGGACAAUGGGCGCAAGCCUGAUCCAGCCAUACCGCGUGGGUGAAGAAGGCCUUCGGGUUGUAAAGCCCUUUUGUUGGGAAAGAAAAGCAGCAGGUUAAUACCCCGCUGUUCUGACGGUACCCAAAGAAUAAGCACCGGCUAACUUCGUG
rnacentral:rRNA from 1 species